CGCGUGGGAGGCCGCGGUGGCCGCAGCUACGGCUGCCGCCAUUUUCUUUCUGCCGUCGCCGUGUCGCGCGGCGGGCUCUGCGGACCGGGGCGCUGCGCCGGGCUCCAUGUCGCCGGGUCGCGCGGUGGGGGACGGCGGGCGGCGGCGGGGCUCAGCGUGGCUUUCCGUACGGCCUGAGCCUCUUGUGCCCGUGCGGUGGCCGGAGUGCGCCGGUGCGACCCGCCUGGCCUUGGCUGCGCGGCGACUGGGGCCGGGCUCCAGCUCUGUGGCUCCCGCCGGCGCCGACCCGGUGGCUCUGCUGCCUUGGCUGCAUCUCUCCUGCAUAUUUAUGAUCAUCUGUCACAUUCCCUGUCCGUGGACAGUGUCCAAAGCCUAGCUCGGGGGAGCGUGCCAACAGGAGAUACUGCUUCCAUGAACUUAUUUACCUCCAGUCCCUGCUUAUUACUUCUCCUAUCAUCUGGCAUCUUCCCUGAGGCUCCAAAAGCUGUCCAACAAGACAAAUUAAGUCCAUCCAAAUUUUGGUCCAUCCAAUGACCAAAUUAAGGCCACCAGGAUCAAAAGCUUGAGCUUUGUCACUAUCAACGACAGUGGCAGUGUCCUCUGCCCCAGUGUAAUUGUCUAUGAUGAUAACAUCCACUUGAUCCUUUGUGCCAGUUACUGGUGAGAUCUUCCAAAGGGGGUGAAUAAGAGUUACACUGUGGUGUUUGGUUUCCUUUCCAGCUAGCUGAGGAUAUAGCCAAGUGGAGAAUUGCUUAAGCAAAUUGAAAUGCAUGCCAAGCCUGAAAAUUUCCCUAGCUAACAGUCCAGUUCCACCUUGGAAUUAAGCUUGCUGAAGUUGAAAACAUGAUCAAAACUUUGCCUUAUUAUUUGUAAAUGCUGUGAUAGAGAAAAAAAAAUUGUAAAGCUCUACCAGUCUGAAGCAUCCACCUGACAUAACCUUAACUCUGCAUUGGGAUGGAGAAAUUAAGCAGCUGUGUGACUAUUACGGUCAGAUAUGAUCUUUCUUUCCAUGCUCACUCUGUAGAAGCUUGUCCCUGGACUUUUUUGACGGAGCCCCAAG
ensembl:lncRNA